CACGUAGGAGGCAAACGUUAUCCGGAUUUACUGGGCGUAAAGCGCGUGUAGGUGGUUCUGUAAGUAGGGCGUGAAAGCUCCCGGCUCAACUGGGAGAGGCCGUUCUAAACUGCAGAGCUAGAGGAUGGUAGAGGGAGGUGGAAUUCCAGGUGUAGCGGUGGGAUGCGCAGAUAUCUGGAGGAACACCAGUGGCGAAGGCGGCCUCCUGGACCAUUCCUGACACUCAGACGCGAAAGCUAGGGUAGCAAACGGGAUUAGAUACCCCUGUAGU
rnacentral:rRNA from 1 species